CUAUUUGUACCCUUGUUAUCCUACCAAAUAACACUAGACGCACUGAUUUAACUGUAAAAGUAUAUAAAAAUCUUUGAAGCCAAAAAUUGCAAGAGAAGAUUACCUUGUGCUGGUGAUUGGGACUGAAAUUCAUGUUUUGCAAUAUACAUUUUAAAGAUUUCGGUUAACUACAUUCAUGUUUAAUGUAUCGAUUUCGAUGAUUUAUUUUCUUAAUCACGUGUGCUGUUAUUUACCUCAGAUAUGGUAAACAUGGAUACAUAUUGUUUCACUUCCUUAAUUCGUACAAUUAAAAUUUUAAAAAUAAAUUUUAAACACAGGUACCUAACAUAAUGCCAUUGCACAAUAAAGACUUGUUUACUUUUGUAUGACUUUAGUUUUGACAAAACGCUAUAUCUAAAUAUAUACUUACAAUUUAUUUGUUAUAAGUAAAUCAUUGCAUCAGGUAUACCUUGAAAAGUUACUGGAUUAUAAGAAUGGAUUUUAUAACAAGGACUUUGUGGUGGAUUGUACUUUACUCUUUGAAAAUUGCAAAAAUAUAAGCUGCAGCAAUAAAAGAAGGAUUAGUUUCUUCGAGGUGUUGUUACACCUCUUCUACCUUGUACUGUUCCUAUUGCUCUGGAUCUUGUUAUGGUUAUCAUGGAAAUGAGUACUGUUGGUACUACUACUACGACUAUUACGAUUAUUCAGCCCACAUCGGAUCGCUAUCAAUUGGAGCGUUUGUUGGUUUGAUAAUUGGUUGCAUAAUUUUCUUCAUAUUUUUUGUAUCCGUGACUGUGGCUAUAUGUAAAUCUUGUACAAGAUCUGCAGGUCAACAUGGGCGAGUUGUCAAUCCAACAGGCGGGGUUUCAGUUGUUCAAACAGGACAACAACAGGGUGGACCUGGUGGUUACCACUAUGGGCCCCCUCAGAUGUAUUCGAAUGUUGGAUAUCAUCAUGGCUAUCCUCCACCCCAACCAAUGAAUGUUUACGGACCACCACAACCACAACCAAUGGCCGGACCACUUCCACCACCAACAUAUGCUGAAUCCAGACCAGAGGUGAAUCAGCCACCACCAGUAUCGACGGCAUUUGGUGGACAACCAUCAACAAAGUGAUUGCUCUUUCCAAAUCUGAGUGAUCUUCCUUUUAUCGGAUUCGACAAUAUCGGAAUAUUAAUGCUUACUAAUUCGCCUUUUCAGAAAUCUAAUACAUUCUGGUUAAUAUUUCAAAAGCGUACACCAAAACGUUGUGAUUGGUUUAUUUAAGGAAUAACUGUAAUAUUUUUUCUGUCUAUGAAGAAAUAACAUCAAAAAUGUGAUGCACACUGAAUAACCCGCGUAGCGGGUUAUUUUAAAGUGUGCAUCACAUUUGUUAUGUUAUUUCGAAUAGACAGAUAAAAUAUUACAGUUAUUUCUUAUAAUUUAAUUCUAAAUUCCAUUUUAAACCGGAGUAAACAAUGAAAAAACGUUGAUGACGUCACGGUCACAUGACUAAAUUAUGUCUAUGAGCUGAUAAACAAAACAACGUCAGCCAAUCAGCAGACGCGUUACAUCCAAAAUUAAAUUAUAACGUCAUAAACAAUGAAAUUCAACCAAUGACAUAACGUUGUUUUUAUUUUUGUUUACUAACAAUGAGAUUACCCAUAGUCUUUUAGAUUGAAAAGGCGAAUUCCCAACUAUAUUUAUACAAAAUGAUGUUAUUAAAUUGAAGUAUUGAUUUGUUUGUGAUUGAGUGUGUUUAAACAAACAUUAUACUAUUUACUUUUAAAUGGUUUGGAACGAUUUCGUGUCCUGAUAUCUAAUUUCCAUGUCUUUUUCAUCUUUAUAUACAUCUUGCUUUCUUGUUGACUUUAAUUUCGUAUUUGUCAAAAUUUAUUCAUAGUAUACAUGCAUUUGAUAUUUAUUGACUUUCUUCGCAAAUUUAUACAUAAAACUUGUAUAUCAUUAAUUUGUUAGUUAUUAUCUUAUAUAACACAAUUUUAAGAAUACUGUAAAUUCAGUAAUAUUUGCGUACGUACAUUUAUGUUUACAAAAUUUUAACAUUUGACAAUAUGCCAUAUUUGGUAUUGCUUUUUUAAUGUAGAUAACAAGUAAUAUGUUGACCCUGAGGGAGUAAGUGUUGCUUAGUCUUUAGUUUUCUAUGUUGUGUUUUAAGAACUUGUUUGACCUUUCGUCGUUUUUAUUUUGUUUGCCAUUACUAUUUCUUGUCGAGUGAUGAGUUUUAAAUUUUCCAUUCCGUCCCUUUUUCGCAAGUGAUACUAUUAAAAUUUAAAAUUUAAAAGCGAGUUGCUGUUUCUGCAAUAUCAACAACAUCCCAAAACAUUUCUGUAUUAACAGUAUUUAAUGCAGCUUGGCUAGGAAUUCUUGUAUUCGUUAUUGGUGUCCUUACAUUGAGAACUCCCUCAGAAGUUUUAUUCUUUGGCUGCACUACCGUUUUGAAAAUAGAUGACUUUCCACAUGUACAAGACAGGAUGAAAAUUAAUACUUUACAAUAUAACAUACAACACCAUAUUUAGGAAAAAAGCGGUUAAAGUCAUAUAGUCAUUAAUCUUAAAGAUAUCAGUUAUCAGAAUGGUUUAAUUUUAGACUUGAGUUAUUUAAUUAGCAAAGCAGUGAAAUAUAUAUUUUACACUUUAUUGAUCUACCAAGUUUGAACUAGAAUGCUAUUGGAGCAGGAUCAGCUUGCCCCUCCGGAGAAUCUGAGAUCACCCUCAGUUUUUAGUGGGGUUCGUGUUGCUUAGUCUUUAGUUUUUUAUGUUGUGUCUUGUGUACUAUUAUUUGUCUGUUUGUCUUUUCUUUUUUAGCCAUGGGGUUGUCAGUUUAUUUUCGAUCUAUGAGUUUGAAUGUCCCUCUGGUAUCUUUCGCCCCUAUGUUAUUAGUAUAUGUUCUUGCAUUGAAAUCUACUUACUAGUUAUUUUCACUCUUGUUAUUGGAUAUGUGCAUUUCCUUUGUUGUAAAUUUUUUAUAUUUACUAUUGCAAAGCUUUAUCUUUACUUUUUGAAUUUGAUAUUACGUUGAAAUAACCCUCCCUCCUCUUUCUAAAUUCGUUCACUUUGUUUUAAUUUAAAGUUCAAUAGGCGGAUGUUUGCCACAAAUUUUCUUAUAUAUUUAUGUUUAUGUAUUAUCACUUGUGUAUUGAUAAAUAUAUAUAUCAUUUUUUAAUUAUAUUGUUUUUUUUUUGUAAUAUUGAAAAAAAUAAAAUAUUUAUGAUAGGCAAUACAAGUUAUACCUAU